CUGGAUCGCGCCGCAGUUCCUGGUGUUCGGGCUCUCCGAGAUGUUCACCGCCGUCGGGCUCAUCGAAUUCUUCUACAAGCAGUCGCUCGCCGGCAUGCAGGCCUUCCUGACCUCCAUGACCUACUGCUCCUACUCCUUCGGCUUCUACCUCAGCUCCGUGCUCGUGUCGCUCGUCAACAGGGUCACGAGCACCUCCGCCGCCGGCGAUGGCGGCUGGCUCGCCAACAACGACCUCAACAAGGACAGGCUGGACCUCUUCUACUGGCUCCUCGCCGGCCUCAGCAUCCUCAACUUCUUCAACUACCUCUUCUGGGCGAGGUGGUAUUCCAAGAGCGUAGAGACGGUGCAGGUCGCCGGAGUCGUCCGAGGCGGCGGUGAGCAGGAUGACGAGAAGGACACCUCGGAGUGCUAGAUUAUUAACAACAUGGGUCGUCCCUGAAAUGUGGGCCCACGAAAUAUGAAACCUAUCAUCAGCCGAUUAAUCAAAAUUAACCUAGUGCUAAGUGUAGUUAACCUUUUUUUAUUUUG
rnacentral:lncRNA from 1 species